GUUAGCCACCACCACCACCACCAUCAUCAUCAUCACUAUCAUCAUCAUCAUCAAAAUGGAAAUGCUUUUCCCAGCCCUCAUUUUUUCCUUGAUAAGCAAAGCUUCAUAUCCAUGUUAAGGUGCUAUGAGAGUCUCCCCAUCACUUUAAGACAUUAACCCCAAGUUUGCUUAGAAUUGCUUGAUGUAGAGCAGCCUGGUAACUUUUUUACUUUUGGUAAAACAUCUUUCUGAAACAGGCAAAAUAACGAUGGUCAGGAGUGGGGCUUUGAAGUAAGAUGGAUAGAAAAAGGAAACUUGGUUUUGCCACUUUUGAGCUUUCUAACCUGGGGUCAGUUAUUUCACCUUCCUGAGCCUCAAUUUCCCCAUCUGUAACGAAACUGGCUUCUUACAGUUUUUGUGAGGACUAAAUGAUAUAAUGAAUGUAGAUAAGCAUAGUUAAAAAUUCAAUGAGUCUUUUAUCAUCAUCAUCCUUAUCAUCUCAAAGAACUACUUGUUCCUUCAAGGAAUUUUGAAAUAACCUAGCUCUACCCCCUCAACAAAACCACACUGCAUUGCCAAAUAAAUCAGAAUUAACCUUUGGAGCUUCAGGAGUUUUGGGGGUGAGGACAGAGGGAGGGAGUAGUUAAUACCUUUUACUAUUAAAAUGCAGCAUAUGUAUAUUGUGAAAGUUUAGAAAAUAUAGCUAAGCAAAAAAAAAAAAAGAGAGAUGUUGUAUUCCCAGCACUUGCAGAUUAUUAUCUGUGGGUUUAUCUUUUUGGAUCUUUUUCUAUGUAAUUAUAUAUAUUAUGUAGUUUUUUUCUAAAAUGAGUAAGCAAAAAAUUUGCUUUUUACAGUUAAUAAUCACUACUUCCUGUGUCAGUAAAUGUUCCUCUAAUACACUGUAUUCAAAAUUCCCCAUUUGUCCCCAAAAUAUUCUUUACAGCUGGUUUGUACAAACCAGGAUUUGAUGCAGGGCAUGGCUGUGAUGCCCCCUAAAUUUAUUUUGAACCAGCACUGGCCCUUUUUUCAUGAUCUUAACUUGUUAUAGGGACUGCCGUGCCAAUUGUUCUGCAGACUGGAGGAGUUUAUUACUAUCUAAACAUAGAACUGAUUUGCUGAGAAAAAAAAAAAAAUCAAGCUGAAUUCAACCAAGUAGUUCUUUUAAACAUAAUUAGUAACUUAGCAGAAUUCAACCAGGGUUUUUUUAAGCUGUUCUCUGUAUGUAAGGAAAACUUCUGAAGCUAGUUACAAAAAAAAAAAAAAAAAAAGGACAGGAGGCGGGGCUAAACCAUAAGAAACUCACAGAGGCCAGGGUGCAAGGUGCCAUUGUGAAGAGGUUCAGAGAUUUUAUCUACUGGAAUAAGGCACAGCUAUCUGAGCUGGGUGGGUAAAUCAGAGGAUCACAGUCCAGCAUUUCUUGUGUCUCUGUAACUGCUUUGAAGUCAGACUGGUGAAUUUGACACACACAUAUCCAUACUAUUGGGAAGGUUCCUCUGUUAAUUCGACUGGGAUUUUCCCUGAGGUUAUCAAUCUGAAAUUAAGCCCUUCAAAUCAGUCUGAAGCUGAGCUUUUCCAUACUCUUUAGAUCAAAUUUUAAUUGAACUGUGACCUCAUCUCUACCGUCCUCAAUUAUGAAGCUAAAGAGCAUGUCUGCCAGGCUACUAGGACAUCCCUUAGAAUCUGUGAGAUGACGUAUAUUGAAACUGGAAAGCUAAUCCAAAUGAACUGGGAAAGGCAUGUAGAGGAAGAAGAGACAGUUGAUUCUUUCACCUAUUUUUGAGCCCCAAAGUAAAUUCUGGCAGUUAAGUCAUGGCCUAGGCCAUGCAUUACAGCUGUAGAGUGUCAUUUCCCAAAAGGAAUACAGCAACUGGAGACAAGUUGUGGGGGAAAUGAGAAGCCCAUCACUCUCUCACCUUGAUUGGUAACAUGACCUACUGAAUAUUGUUACAUAAUGGGUAUCUAUAUAUAUGAUAUAUAUUUUAAAAUAGGGUAUAUGUGCAUGUGUUUGUAUGUAUAUAAGAUAUAUACCUUAUUAGGGAGUUAAGUUUCCUUGGCUGAGGAAAACCAUGUAUUCGGUCCCAAUCUAAGCUCUGCUUGGGUUCUUGGAAGUGAACCUCAGGAUACUUCCAAGCUAAAAUUAUAAAACAAUCCAAGUUCUUCUUCAUGACUUAGACCCUCCAGUGCCAUUCAAAUUCCCAGUGUCUUCAUGCGUUCUCUACCUCCCACCAUCCAAAUCUGCUUUUAACAGAUUUGAUCAUUCCUCUUCUAUUAGGAUGAGGAGGAGAUGAACAGAGUGUUUUGAUGCUUCUGAUGCCCCGUUGCAGUGAAUAUUAUUCAAAUGUCAAUCCCCUCUUACCCCAACAACUUCACAAUAACAAAUAAAUGAUAACAAUUAAUUCCUUUACUUUUGGAGUCUUAGGUAUAGAAACACAUUUCUAUUCCACGUAAACUUGGGAAUGCUUCACUCCCUGCCUGGGUAAUUUGAGCUUUCAGCAAUCCUGCAUACAAAAUAUAAGGGGCAUUAAUAGAUUUGGAUUAAUCAUGUUAAAUGGGUUAUUACUAUCCAAAAGAAACUGAGGGGUUUUCUAAUCGAGCUAUUUCCUUCCAAAGCCAUUCAUAGAAAUAGAUCUUUUACUUUCGGGCAAACCUUACAUAAAGCCAGUUUUGAAUUUUCUCUGGAGCUUAUAGGCAAUGAAGAAUUUUGCUAAGUGUCUUUAGCAGAACAGCUUUCUGUGUUCCAGAAGACAUUUGGUGAAGACAGUUAAUUUGUUUUCCUUUCCAGAGGAGAAUGUUCCAUUAAUCAUUCUAAGAAGCCAAGCUGAUUGCUCUGUUACGUUAAGGUCACAGUAUUCUUGUUAACAUGACCCACACGAUAUUUCUGUGUCUUAGAACAGGUUUUUUUUUUUUCUUAUGGCAGACUUAUGGCAUGGAAGCAGUAAGCAACAGACUCAAACACACUACACAUGUGCAAGUACACAUGUGCACACACACACGCACACACACAGACACACAGAAUAGCCAAAGCACAUUUUGUGGAUCAAAUAUUAUCACAUUGCAUUGCAGGAGAUGAGCUAUGCUAAAUCCUCAAAUACUUCUCAUUUAUUAACCAAAUAACUAUUUCUCUCACUGCUGGGCUCCAGAUAGGCUAUCACAAGAUUUCACAACCAAUACCUAGUGAUAUAGUUACUGCUCUAAUUAUUUUAAUGAAUGAAUUUAAAUUAUCAUGCAUAGGUUCUCGUUAUUCAAAGUGUGAUCCAUAGGCCCUCAGCUUCAGCAUCACCUGGAAGUUUGAAAGAAACAUAUAGUCUCAGCCCUAACCCCAGCCUGAAUGAAUCAGAAUCUGCAUUUUAACAAGAGCCUCUUUGAUUCAAAUGCACAUAAAAGUUUGACAAAUACUGGGCAAGAUCAAUUACUUCAAACUUAUUUGCCCCAACUCACAAUAAGAAACAAAUUUUAUAUUGCAACCCAGUGUGCAUGUUCGCACACAUGAAACAAAAGUUUAUAAAACAGUAUUUACUCUUACUAUGUGAUGCAAUCUGACAUUUCCUGUUUUUCUUUAAAAACUUUCAGUGGUAACAGAUUAAAUGAUUCUACUACACACAAAUAAGUUUACAGUCCUCAGUUUUAAAAACACAUCUAAAGCAAAGUUUCUCAUCCUUGGCACCAUUGACAUUUUGAGCCAGAUAAUUGUUGUAGAAUGCUAGUCUGUGUAUUAAAGGAUGUUGAGCAGCAUCCCUGGUUUCUCCUCCAGAUACCGGUAGCAGCCACUGUCCUUUUUAAAAUGAAGAAAAUGUCUCCAGAUAUGGCCAAAAUUCCCCCAAGGGGCAAAAUCAUCCCCAUUUGAGAACCACUGAUCUGGAUGAACUAGAAAAGAGGUUACCACUAAAUGUGUACAGGCAGACCUUCCUCUCUGAAUAUAAUACAGCCAUCUGCCACCCCCAUCAUCAUAUAAAAAUGUGAUGAGUAUGAUGUAGUAAUAACAACAAAGUUGAGCUUAGUAAUUAUUAAAAUGAUGACUCAAGAAGUCCAUGUGUCCAUCUGGAAGUUAGCUUUGGAGCCUGUGCCCGUCUCUGAAGGAGAUUGUUUGGGGGACUUCAUGCAAUUAUGGGAAAAACUUGUGAGACAUCCAGGACACUCUUCUGUCCGCACUGUACCCAGAAGAGUCCCACUUGGAGCCAAAGGAAGGAACUGGAACAGCACGUUAGAUCAGCAAUACAGCUUCCCGCUUUGGCCUCCCUUGAUUACUUCUCUUUCCUUUCCUUUUUAUAAUUCCACCCGGACCUUGAUUUAAAAAAAAAAAAAAGUCUUGCUUCCACCAGGUGGCUGCAAGUUAUUUUUAUGUGUCCAAAAACCUGAAAAGAAGGCUCAACUUAAAUACUUCAUUCAUUCCAAAUUCCCAAUUCAGAAGAGAACAGUUAACAGCCUCCUGUUCUUCUGUUAAACUCCUGCUGAGUUGACUAAAAAUCCAGUUAAUAGAGUCUAGUGAUUUGCCUCCAGUGUGAAUAUUCCUGUAUCAAAAGGCUUACAACGAUAGUGUCACUUGCCAUAUUGGGUUGCCUUGACUGCCUUUGGCAGAAUUUUUCAUUCUGACCAUCCCUGGACUAAAGCCAGUUAUACCAACAAAGCUCCAGGUCUUGCCCAGGAUGGGAGUAUUAUUAAUUACCAGAUCUGUAUGCCAACCAAGGUAUAAAGCCCCUCUCAUUAUUUGUGUGGAAAAAAAGAUUUUUUUAGAAAAGAACAAAUAAUAUGUAAAGUAAGCAAAGUUAAAUGCAUGAGUUGCUUUCUAGUGAAGUUCUUUAAAAUCAUCUUUUAAGGAAGAGAAAUAUCACUUCCUUUUGUUCAGAAAAUUCAUUCUUUGGCCUAGGAAAUCAUCCUGUUAAAGAGAAAAGACUCAGUUAUUAGGUGCUUCAUUAGUUUGGGGAACUCUGAGUCAGUGCUUCUCUCGGUGGUGAUUUUUGUCCCACAGAGGACUUUUGGCCAUGUCUGGAGACAUUCUUGGUCGUGACAACUUGGGGGUUGGGGGCAUGUUACUGGCAGAAGCCAGGGAUGCUGCUGAACCUCCGGUAGUGCACAGGACAGCCCCCACAGCAAAGAAUGAUCCAGCUCAAAAUGUCAGUAGUGUAGAGAGAUUGAAAAACCAUGCUCUAUGAUACUUCCACCUACACAAAUCAUUUGUCUUCCAUGAAUAGAUUAUUUGCGUUUUUGUGGGGAUUUUUGUUUAUUUUUUGUUUUGUUUUUUUUUGAGACAGAGUCUUGCACUGUCACCCAGGCUGGAGUGCAAUGGAGAAAUUUUGGCUCACUGUGACCUCCACCUCCCAAGAUCAAGCAAUUCUCCUGCCUCAGCCUCCUGAGUAGCUGGAAUUACAAGUGCCCACCACUGUGCCUAGCUAAUUUUUUGUAUUUUUAGUAGAGACAGAGUUUCACCAUAUUGGCCAGGCUGGUCUUGAACUCCUGACCUUGUGAUCUGCCCACCUCAGCCUCCCAAAGUGCUGGGAUUACAGUAGUGAGCCACUGCACCUGGCAAUUAUGGGAGUUUAAAUCAUGAGCAUGAUCUGUGGGUCAUCAUAUAAUCAAGGGACUCCAGUGAUUGUCUCUAAAGGAUAUUCUACCUGGUAGAUAUCUCAGAAAUGAGUCUCCCUUUUGGUAAGCUUCAUCCAAAAACAUUUUUUAGGAGCUUAGAGAAUAAAAAUCAAGCAGUCACUAACACCUAGGUUUGUCAGCUUGAACUUAACACUCACCUGUGUAUAAUUCCCAUGAAGCACCUGUGCUUCAACAAAAAGUCAGAUCUUGUCAGUUCAAUGAGUCACUAUGGCUUCCUUCUACUGAAAGGUGCCCUGUCAACUUUUCAAGGGACUGGUUCCUUUAUAUCAAGCAGAUGUUAGGAGUAUAGGCUUUGCAGU